AUUGAACGCUGGCGGCAUGCUUUACACAUGCAAGUCGAACGACAGCGCGGGCUUCGGCCUGGCGGCGAGUGGCGAACGGGUGAGUAAUGCAUCGGAACGUGCCCAGUAGUGGGGGAUAGCCCGGCGAAAGCCGGAUUAAUACCGCAUACGACCUGAGGGUGAAAGCGGGGGACCGAAAGGCCUCGCGCUAUUGGAGCGGCCGAUGUCGGAUUAGCUAGUUGGUGGGGUAAAGGCUUACCAAGGCGACGAUCCGUAGCUGGUCUGAGAGGACGACCAGCCACACUGGGACUGAGACACGGCCCAGACUCCUACGGGAGGCAGCAGUGGGGAAUUUUGGACAAUGGGGGCAACCCUGAUCCAGCCAUGCCGCGUGCGGGAAGAAGGCCUUCGGGUUGUAAACCGCUUUUGUUCGGGAAGAAAUCCUCUGGGCUAAUACCCCGGGGGGAUGACGGUACCGGAAGAAUAAGCACCGGCUAACUACGUG
rnacentral:rRNA from 1 species